rnacentral:rRNA from 1 species
UACGUAGGGUGCGAGCGUUGUCCGGAUUUAUUGGGCGUAAAGGGCUCGUAGGCGGCGUGUCGCGUCGGGAGUGAAAGACCGGGGCUUAACCCCGGUUCUGCUUCCGGUACGGGCAUGCUGGAGUGUGGCAGGGGAGACUGGAAUUCCUGGUGUAGCGGUGGAAUGCGUAGAGAUCGGGAGGAACACCAGUGGCGAAGGCGGCACCCUGGACCAGCACUGACACUGAGGCACGAAAGCGUGGGGAGCAAACAGG